rnacentral:rRNA from 1 species
AUUGAACGCUGGCGGCAGGCCUAACACAUGCAAGUCGAGCGGAUGAAGGGAGCUUGCUCCUGGAUUCAGCGGCGGACGGGUGAGUAAUGCCUAGGAAUCUGCCUGGUAGUGGGGGAUAACGUCCGGAAACGGGCGCUAAUACCGCAUACGUCCUGAGGGAGAAAGUGGGGGAUCUUCGGACCUCACGCUAUCAGAUGAGCCUAGGUCGGAUUAGCUAGUUGGUGGGGUAAAGGCCUACCAAGGCGACGAUCCGUAACUGGUCUGAGAAGAUGAUCAGUCACAAUGGAACUGAGACACGGUCCAGACCCCUAAGGGAGGCAGCAUUGGGGAAUAUUGGACAAUGGGCGAAAGCCUGAUCCAGCCAUGCCGCGUGUGUGAAGAAGGUCUUCGGAUUGUAAAGCACUUUAAGUUGGGAGGAAGGGCAGUAAGUUAAUACCUUGCUGUUUUGACGUUACCAACAGAAUAAGCACCGGCUAACUUCGUG